GCCCCCGUAGCUCAGUGGACAGAGCAGGAGCCUUCUAAGCUCUUGGUCGGGGGUUCGAAUCCUCCCGGGGGCA
rnacentral:tRNA from 1 species